GUGCAUCGGUAGUUCACCUUGAGGCUACUAUAGUUUGACUACACCAUAACUCAAUCUCUUAGCCAUACGGAGCUUUGAAGUAUAUGUUGGCUACAGUAUAUUCAUUGCAAAAAUUAGAUUAUACCAAGAUGGAAUGUAUCAACCCCGGUAGAGAAGGAGCAAUCCUAUAUAAAUCAUGAGAUUAAGUCUAAAAGCCCAUAGCCAUGGCAGUG
rnacentral:lncRNA from 1 species